CAACAAAGCUCACACUUUUUAUCCUCUAGACAUGCAUAUAAAGAUACGUAUAUUUAUAUAGAUCUACAUGUGAGAUGCUAGAUUGUAUAUAUAAUUUUUGCUGUUUACAGAACUGGAAGUUGAAACUGGAAAUUAAUUAAUAAUCAAUUAAUGAAAUAAUAAGAAAGAGAAAAAAAAAAGAUGAGUGGUAAGUAGGUGGAGGACAUUGAAGGAGGACCAUCUAAUUUCUUUCAUGAGAAAGGAAAAAAGGAGAGGGAUGGGCUCUGUUUCUCAUUAGCACCAUCUUUUGGAAACUCCCUUUUUUGGUAACCCUUCUGCGUUUUCAAUGAAUUAUAGAUGCUGUUCCUCUCUCCAUCUAUCUGCGUUCAUAUUUAUUGUUUAACAAAAACUUAUUUCACACCAACGUGAAUAAUGGCAUUUGAACGUAUGGGAGAGUGUACUAGUACAACAACCAAGUUGGAUUAAUUUAGUUAAACUAAACUGUAGAUAAACUGUAUUCUGUCGUUUCAGCUUGGUUUCUGUUUCUCGAAAUACAAGACAUCAAACCGGUAAAGAAGUUUUUGUUUGAAUUUUGCCACAUUUUACUUAAAAAGAAACUGAAAAGUUGACGUUUCAACAGAUCCCAAAACUGAAAUGCACAUUCUACCAGACAUGUUACUAUACAUUGUAGUGUGUGUGUUUUUUUUUUGACAUUUAGAUUGUAGUGUUUUAUAAAGUCAAUUUUUCUAAACUUGAUGUUUGUUUUUUUAAGUGUAAGGUAUGUUUGAUAAAUGCCAUUAAUAACGUUCACUAGUGGAAUUCACAAACCCAUCUUUUGCAAAGAUUACAAGAUAUAGGAUGCUGAAAAAUAUUUGAUCUGAGAGAUCAUCCGAAAAAUGAAAAAAAUGAAGAUGAUUUAUAGCCAAAUUUGACAUAGUGACAUGCAUAUUUAUUAUAUAAUUAAAACUUGGGACAUAUAUAGAUCAAACUAAAAUUAAUAUUUGUAAAUAAAUAAAGGAAAAUUGCAAAAAUAGUAGGAAACGAAAAUUUUAAGUAUUCAUAUGAGAGAGUAGAUGGUCAGGAUAUACAAAUAGAGAUAUAUGUAGGUGCGAUAAAAUAUGGAUAUGUGAGAAAAGAGACGUGCAUGUUAAACUGGUAUCAACUUCUCCUAGUACCUGAAUCCUUUAUGGGGAUAGGGGACAACAAAUGUUCUAUCUGUGCUUCAGGGGAUCAUUACAAGUUAUUUACUGUGCUAUCAUCCUUUAUCUUUUUCUUUCUUUGAUUUGGUCGCCCUAACUUCUUAGAUAUCUACUCUUGCACCCCCGUAAUUACAUGCUCUACUGAAAACUCCAGACGAAGAAGAUCAUUAAGUCUUCUCUAUUUUGCGUGGGACCUCGGUUCGCAGUCACUCUGAUAUGAAAUAUAUGUUAAAUCCUGAGAAUCUAGACAUCGCUCAUAAUUCAAAGUUUUUGAGCAUAGCGGUCAAAAUCGAUUUGAAAGUCUUGAAUAAUCUUUUAAUGAUAACAAAAUUAAAUGUAGUAUCAACUUUUUGGACACGUUCGGAAACACGAUUUUCGUAAUAGUAAGAUAUGUCACAACGUAGAAUUGACAUGCUUUCUAAUUGAAAGUGAGCCAUUGUGUAAUAUAUUUUGUUCGUGUGUUUUCAUUUAUCUACUUUACUGUUCUAAAGAGAAAUGUUUGAAAUUAUCCUAACAUUUAUUUUGUAUAUUUACAACUUUUUAGAAGUUAACUUUAGACCUAAAACCAUAUGCGAAGAUGCUAUAUACAGACCAUUAAUUUUAGAAUCAGAAAUCAUAUGUAAAUACGCUAUUUAGGGCAUGACUGGUUCAAACGCAGCGUUUGCAUUUGCGGUUGCGGAAAUUUACGGAUGCGGAUGGUUGCGGUUUCUAGGGGUUUUAAAAGAUUUGUACGACUGGUUCUGCGGUAAGAAAUAAUGUGCUUGCGGGAUACUUAUAACUAGUUAAUUACCAAAUGCAGCAACAAUUAAAUAAUAAAUUAACAAUAUUUACAUUUUAUAUAAUUAUAAAAAUAUCAAAAAUCAUAAUAUUAUAAUAAAUAUAAAAAUGAUAUUUAGAAAGUUAUAGUUUUAAAUUUUUUAAAAUUAUAGAAAAUAUUUUUAUUUUUAAAAUUUAUAAUUUAUAAUAUUAAUUAAAAUAUAAUAGAUAUAUUUUAGUAUUUUAUAAUUUUAAUUUUAUUUUUUUAAUUGUUGUUUGUAUUUAUAUUAUUUUUGAAAAGAAAGGAAAGAAAAUUAUCCUCCCGCAACCGCAUACGCUAGUUGGAACCAGUUUUUAAAUUUAUGAGGUUUAGAGCUGUUUGAAACGGAUUAGAACGGUUUGAAUGAUUGUUGCAAAACGCCAACAACCGCUACCAACCGCAAAAGCUGCGUUUGCGGGUGGUAGCCGAAAACCAGUCAUACCCUUAGACGCCUAAAAACUAAUUAAUGUGCUGUCUAACCAAAGAAUUUACAAGCAUAUUACUAAAAAUGAUGUUAUUGUUUUGAGGAAAACAUAAUUUUACUAUUUAAAAAUGGUUUUAUGGUCUAAACAAAAAUAAUGAGGUAGUUGAACUAAUUCAAAUACGCAAAAUAAGUCUAUAUCUAUUCAAAUACGCAUCUAAUUCUGAGUGCAUGUUUUUCCAUAUUUAUAAAGAUACAUUAUUGAAUCUAUCGAUUAUGAGCGUAUGCCAGAUAUAACUCGUUUAGAAGGCUUUCCGUGAACUUAUUUCUUGUCUAAACGUGUGAACAUAAGAGCUGCAUUAAUCACCGAGUUUGUUUGAGAACUUGAAAUGGAUACGUUGGACCAGAAAAUUGUGACAAUUGAUAUUGAAAUCUAUUUUUUUAAGUUUCAGACGAUUGAUUUCAUUAACCUAUUUUUCUUUGAGUGCAUUUUAUAUGGCAGAUCUCUCUAGACUCUAGUACUCCAAUGACAUGCAUUAGGGCAGAAAUACAUAUUUGAACAUGUUUUUGUUGCAUUUGGAAAAGGAUAUAUAAAUGAAAAAACAAUAAAAAGAAAAGGAAUGAUGAGACGACAACUUAAUGAGGGAACAAGAAAUUAAGGAAUCCAACAAAUGGUGACUACACUACAAAAAAGUCUACAUUGAUAGCACAUUGUUAUAGCACGUUUUACUGAACUGCUGUCGUAGAUGAUUUUAAUAUUUUUGUAUUAUAUUAUAGCAUUAGAUAAACGUUAUGGUAGAAUAAAACCUAAAAUAACACUUAAUUAAUGUUAUUUUAAAAAUUAUGUGAGCGGGAAUAUAAAGUCACAGAUACGGCCAACACUUAGCGAAAAAUUAGAUUUAAGCGCCAAAGAUAUUUUUUAAGCGGCUUCAACAAUGCUAUCAAAGACAUAUAAUAGCAUUUUUAUAACGCUAAGAAAAGCUCUUUGAACCCCUAAACUCUAAACAUGGUUUUAAACUCUAAACAUUGUUUUAAACCCAAAACUUUAAAGACAACCUUUAAACCUCUAAUCUUUUCAUACUAUAACUUCAAAUCUUAAAAUUAAAAUCAAAAUUUAAUCUUUUUAAUCUUAAUCUAUAAUUUCCUAAACACAUAUCUUUAAUCUUUAAUCAAACUCUAUAUCUUAAAUCUAAACUUCAAAUGUAAACUAAACAUUCAAUACUCUAAAUAUAAACUUCAAAUCUAAAUUAUUAAAUAUUUAACUACAAAUCGUCUAGUAUUCAAAUCUAUUAUUUUCGAAUCUUAAUCCAAAACACUAAAUUUUAACCCUAAACCUCAUAUUUCAACAUCAACACCUUAAAUCAUAAAACUAAAUUUACUCUUAAUCGUAUUUUUUGUAAAUCAUAAAAUAUAAAUUUAAAACUUUUGAAAUUUUGAAUCAAACAUACAAAUUUAUAAAAGAAUUAUAAAUCAGAUUUUUUAUAAACAUGCAAAUUUAAAAAUGAUGACCAAAAUCAUAAUGUUGAUAUUAAUCUAAUAUUUUCAAACUUAAACAUCAAUUCAUAAAAUAAAUAUCAGUUUAUUAGGUUCAAAAAAUAAAAAAAAAUAGACUUAAAUUAUAAACUACAAAAUAUUAAUUUUGAAAUAAGAUAUAACUAAUAAAAAUCACUUACAAAACAAAUUAUCAAAUAUGGAAAGACAAAACAAAAAUAAAAAUAGAAAAGCAAAAACAAAAUUGUCUGGCCAAUCAGAUUAAAAUACAUGGAUCACACUUUUGAACCGUUAGAUUAACUUAGAUCUGAAGGUUAAGAUUUAUUCCUUUUAAUUUUAAUUUUUAUUUUCUCCUCUCUCUCUCUUUCUCACAAACUCCACGAGAUCUGGUCUUCUUGUUCUUCUCCUUCAUUCUCACCUCUCCAAGCUUACUGUUUCUCUCAUCUCUCCUAUCUCUCUCCACGCCUCUCUCAUCUCUCUCUCAUCGCGUCUCCUCCUCGUCUCACCACCACCAGGGUCGCCCUCUCACCCCCACCACGGUCGCCCUCCCACCACCACCACGGUCGCACUCCCACCACCAUCACGUUGGGGAGGCAAGGUUCAUGGUGGCUGGAGGAGGCAAGGUCCAUGGCGGCUUGAGGACGGAAGUCUCGUGGCAGCUGGAGGAGGCAAGGCUCAUGGCUGUUGGAAGAGGGGCAAGGUUAUGGAGGAGGCGGCUGCAGUCUUUUCUUUUUUUUUUUUAGGUUUAGAUUUGGUUUAGUAUAAACCCAUGUUCGAAACUACGCUAGGCGUAACGCGUGCGGUUGGAUAGGGCCUAGCGCCGAAUCAAUUAAUCGGAGAUUAUACGGGGAUUAAUCGGGGCGUAAUUUUAGAUUAUUUAUAUACAUUUAUGGGUUUAUAUUUUAAAUAUGUAAACUAGACAAUAAUCUCGCAUGGUUCAGUGGCUA